AGAUUGAACGCUGGCGGCAGGCCUAACACAUGCAAGUCGAGCGGCAGCACGGGUACUUGUACCUGGUGGCGAGCGGCGGACGGGUGAGUAAUGCCUAGGAAUCUGCCUGGUAGUGGGGGAUAACGCUACGGAAACGGACGCUAAUACCGCAUACGUCCUACGGGAGAAAGCAGGGGACCUUCGGGCCUUGCGCUAUCAGAUGAGCCUAGGUCGGAUUAGCUAGGUUGGUGAGG
rnacentral:rRNA from 1 species